UACGUAGGGUGCAAGCGUUGUCCGGAAUUAUUGGGCGUAAAGAGCUCGUAGGCGGUUUGUCGCGUCUGCUGUGAAAACUCGGGGCUUAACUCCGGGCCUGCAGUGGGUACGGGCAGACUAGAGUUCGGUAGGGGAGUCUGGAAUUCCUGGUGUAGCGGUGAAAUGCGCAGAUAUCAGGAGGAACACCGGUGGCGAAGGCGGGACUCUGGGCCGAUACUGACGCUGAGGAGCGAAAGCGUGGGGAGCAAACAGG
rnacentral:rRNA from 1 species